rnacentral:antisense_RNA from 1 species
GUCUAUGGCGGACCGUGCGGGGUGGGCUUUUGCCCACCGGGUUUUUGCGUUUAUUGACCGGGGUUCUAACCCUGCACGGUCCGCCACCCUU